CCUACGGGUGGCAGCAGUGAGGAAUAGUGGUCAAUGGACGAGAGUCUGAACCAGCCAAGUAGCGUGAAGGAUGACGGCCCUAUGGGUUGUAAACUUCUUUUAUAGGGGAAGAAAACGUGCCACGUGGGGGAUUUUGUAUGUAACAUAUGAAUAAGGAUCGGCUAACUCCGUGCCAGCAGCCGCGGUAAUAUGGAGGAUCCGAGCGUUAUCCGGCUUUAUUGGGGUGAAAGGGAGCGUAGGUGGAUUGUUAAGUCAGUUGUGAAAGUUUGCGGCUCAACCGUAAAAUUGCAUUUGAUACUGGCAGUCUUGAUUACAGUAGAGGUGGGCGGACUUCGUGGUGUAGCGGU
rnacentral:rRNA from 1 species